UAAAAUAAUUAAGGGCACACAAAGGAUGCCUAGGUAGUAAGAGCCGAUGAAGGACGUGGUAAGCUGCGAUAAGCCUAGAUAAGUUGCAAUCGAACGUAAGAGUCUAGGAUUUCCGAAUGGAGCAAUCUAUUAAGAUGGAGUCUUAAUACGAAAGAGGGAACCGCGUGAACUGAAACAUCUAAGUAACGCGAGGAAAAGAAAGUAAAAACGAUACCCAAAGUAGCGGCGAGCGAAAUGGGUCAAGCCUAAACCUUAAAUAUGUCAAGGAUACAGCCGUUGUAUUUAAGGGGUUGAGGGACAGAGUAGUGAAGAACUGUAAGAUAUUCAAUAUAGUGUAUUGAUGAAUUGGAAUUGUCUGGAAAGGCGAACCGUAGAAGGUGAAAGUCCUGUACAAGUAAAUCCUUACACAUAUAACUCUGCUCCCAAGUAACAUGGAACACGAGGAAUUCUGUGUGAAUCUGUGAGGACCAUAUCUCAUAAGGCUAAAUACUCUUACUAACCGAUAGCGCAUAGUACCGUGAGGGAAAGGUGAAAAGAACCCCUGGAGGGGAGUGAAAUAGAACCUGAAAUUGUGUGCUUACAAGCGGUCAGAGCCAGUAAUGGUGAUGGCGUGCCUUUUGGAGAAUGAUCCUGCGAGUUACGUUAAACGGCGAGGUUAAGUAUAACGGAGCCGAAGGGAAACCAAGUCUUAAUAGGGCGAUUUAGUCGUUUGGCGUAGACGCGAAACCUGGUGAUCUAAACCUGUCCAGGAUGAAGCUGUGGUAAGACACAGUGGAGGUCCUAACCCACCGCCGUUGAAAAGUUGGGGGAUGAGGUAGGUUUAGGGGUGAAAAGCCAAUCGAACCAGGAGAUAGCUCGUUCUCUCCGAAAUGUAUCUAGGUACAGCCUUGAGUGUUCAAUUAUGGGGGUAGAGCACUGAAUGAUCUAGGGGGCGUAUUGCUUACUGAAAUCAAUCAAACUCCGAAUACCAUAAUUUAUAGCUCAGGAGUGAGACUAUGGGAGUUAACUUCCAUUGUCGAAAGGGAAACAACCCAGACCACCAGCUAAGGUCCCUAAUUAUAACUAAGUGGGAAAGGAGGUGGAGAUUCACAAACAACUAGGAGGUUGGCUUAGAAGCAGCCAUACCUUUAAAGAGUGCGUAAUAGCUCACUAGUCGAGAGUCUCUGCGCCGACAAUGUAACGGGGCUAAGUUAUAAACCGAAGCUGUGGAAUCCGUAAGGAUUGGUAGGAGAGCGUUCUGUAGGCCGUUGAAGGAGAAGGGUAACCGACUCUGGAGGUAUCAGAAGUGAGAAUGCAGGAAUAAGUAGCGAGAAAGGGGGCGAGAAUCCCCCUCGCCGGAAGACCAAGGUUUUCAGGGUAAAGCUUGUCUUCCCUGAGUAAGCCGGGACCUAAGCCCAGGCUAUAAUGCGUAGGCGAAUGGAAAACAGAUUAAUAUUUCUGUGCCAGUCAUAUAUUGUGAUGGAGGGACGCAGAAGGGUAUGCGCGCGGACGAACGGAAGUGUCCGUAGAAGUAUGUAGGAUGACUUGAUAGGAAAAUCCAUUGAGUUAUAUCUGAGGUAUGAUAUACAGUCGUAAGAUGAAUGCGCAAAUCCCACGCUGCCAAGAAAAGCUUCUAACGUUAAUAUUUGACUGCCCGUACUGCAAACCGACACAGGUGGUCAGGAUGAGAAAUCUAAGGCGGACAGGCUAACUCUCGUUAAGGAACUCUGCAAAAUAACCUCGUAACUUCGGGAGAAGAGGAGCCCUUGAGGGUCAGUAUCCACGCGAUACAAAGCGCUCGAGGGUCGCAGUGAAGAGGCUCAAGCAACUGUUUAACAAAAACACAGGUCUAUGCUAAGCUGGAAGGCGAUGUAUAUGGGCUGACACCUGCCCAGUGCUGGAAGGUUAAGAGGAGGAGUGAGAGCUCCGAAUUGAAGCCCCAGUGAACGGCGGCCGUAACUAUAACGGUCCUAAGGUAGCGAAAUUCCUUGUCGGGUAAGUUCCGACCUGCACGAAUGGUGUAAUGAUUUGAGCGCUGUCUUGACGGGAGGCCUGGUGAAAUUGUAUUACCGGUGAAGAUACCGGUUACCUACAGUAGGACGGAAAGACCCCAUGGAGCUUUACUGUAGCUUGGUAUUGGGUUUUGGCAUUGCAUGUAUAGGAUAGUUGGGAGACUGAGAUGAUAUGGCGCUAGCUGUAUCGGAGUCAUCGGUGGAAUACCAACCAUUCAAUGCUGAAAUUCUAAUCUGUGGUUUGUAGCCACGGAGACAGUGCUAGGUGGGCAGUUUGACUGGGGCGGUCGCCUCCCAAAGAGUAACGGAGGCGUUCAA
rnacentral:rRNA from 1 species